UGCAGUCGACGCACUCUCGUUUAGAUUGAAGGAGCUUGCUCCUGAUUGAUAAACAUUUGAGUGAGUGGCGGACGGGUGAGUAACACGUGGGUAACCUGCCCUAAAGUGGGGGAUAACAUUUGGAAACAGAUGCUAAUACCGCAUAAAACCUAGCACCGCAUGGUGCAAGGUUGAAAGAUGGUUUCGGCUAUCACUUUAGGAUGGACCCGCGGUGCAUUAGUUAGUUGGUGAGGUAAAGGCUCACCAAGACUGUGAUGCAUAGCCGACCUGAGAGGGUAAUCGGCCACACUGGGACUGAGACACGGCCCAGACUCCUACGGGAGGCAGCAGUAGGGAAUCUUCCACAAUGGACGAAAGUCUGAUGGAGCAACGCCGCGUGAGUGAAGAAGGUUUUCGGAUCGUAAAACUCUGUUGUUGGAGAAGAAUGUAUCUGAUAGUAACUGAUCAGGUAGUGACGGUAUCCAACCAGAAAGCCACGGCUAACUACGUGCCAGCAGCCGCGGUAAUACGUAGGUGGCAAGCGUUGUCCGGAUUUAUUGGGCGUAAAGCGAGCGCAGGCGGUUUUUUAAGUCUGAUGUGAAAGCCUUCGGCUCAACCGAAGAAGUGCAUCGGAAACUGGGAAACUUGAGUGCAGAAGAGGACAGUGGAACUCCAUGUGUAGCGGUGAAAUGCGUAGAUAUAUGGAAGAACACCAGUGGCGAAGGCGGCUGUCUGGUCUGUAACUGACGCUGAGGCUCGAAAGCAUGGGUAGCAACAGGAUUAGAUACCCUGGUAGUC
rnacentral:rRNA from 2 species